rnacentral:rRNA from 1 species
UUAAAAAGCUCGCAGUUGGACCUUGGGUUGGGUCGGUCAAUACGUCUAUGGUGUGUAUCAGUCGUCUUGUCCCUUUUAUCGGAGAUGCCCUUUUAUCGGAGAUGCGCAUCUGGCCUUAAUUGAUUGAGUCGUGCCUUCGACGCUUUUACUUUGAAGAAAUUAGAGCGUUCAAAAUAAGCCUACGCUCUGGAUAUAUUAGUAUGUGAUAACAUUAUAGGAUUUCGAUCCUAUUAUAUUGGCCUCUGGGAUCGGAGUAAUGAUUAACAGGAACAGUCAGGGGCAGUCAUAUUUCAUAGUUAAAGGUGAAAUUCUUGAAUUUAUGAAAAAUGAACAACUGCGAAAGUAUUUGCCAAUGAUGUUUUCAUUAAUCAAGAACGAAAGUUGAGGGCUCGAAGACGAUUAGAUACCGUCCUAAUUUAAUCGAUAAAUGAUGCCAAGCAAGGAUUGACGAAUGUUGCUUAUAGGACUCCAUCGGCACCUUAAUUCUAACAGGAAUACAACUAAUUUGCCA